rnacentral:rRNA from 1 species
UACAGAGGGUGCGAGCGUUAAUCGGAAUUACUGGGCGUAAAGGGCGCGUAGGCGGUUAUAUAAGUUUUGUGUGAAAUGCCCGGGCUUAACCUGGGAUCUGCAUAAGAUACUGUAUAGCUAGAGUAGAGUAGAGGGAAGUGGAAUUUCCGGUGUAGCGGUGAAAUGCGUAGAUAUCGGAAGGAACACCAGUGGCGAAGGCGGCUUUCUGGACUCAUACUGACGCUGAGGCGUGAAAGCGUGGGGAGCAAACAGG